rnacentral:rRNA from 1 species
AGUGAACGCUGGCGGUAGGCCUAACACAUGCAAGUCGAACGGCAGCACAGGAGAGCUUGCUCUCUGGGUGGCGAGUGGCGGACGGGUAAGGAAUACAUCGGAAUCUACUUUUUCGUGGGGGAUAACGUAGGGAAACUUACGCUAAUACCGCAUACGACCUACGGGUGAAAGCAGGGGAUCUUCGGACCUUGCGCGAUUGAAUGAGCCGAUGUCGGAUUAGCUAGUUGGCGGGGUAAAGGCCCACCAAGGCGACGAUCCGUAGCUGGUCUGAGAGGAUGAUCAGCCACACUGGAACUGAGACACGGUCCAGACUCCUACGGGAGGCAGCAGUGGGGAAUAUUGGACAAUGGGCGCAAGCCUGAUCCAGCCACACCGCGUGGGUGAAGAAGGCCUUCGGGUUGUAAAGCCCUUUUGUUGGGAAAGAAAUCCAGCUGGUUAAUACCCGGUUGGGAUGACGGUACCCAAAGAAUAAGCACCGGCUAACUUCGUGCCAGCCGCCGCAGUAA